rnacentral:rRNA from 1 species
GAUGAACGCUAGCGGCAGGCCUAACACAUGCAAGUCGAGGGGUAACAUAGGAAAGCUUGCUUUUCUGAUGACGACCGGCGCACGGGUGCGUAACGCGUAUACAACCUACCUUUUAGCGGGGAAUAGCCCAGGGAAACUUGGAUUAAUGCCCCAUAGUAUAUAGACUUCUCCUGAAGUUUAUAUUAAACAUUUAUGGCUAUUAGAUGGGUAUGCGUCCUAUUAGUUAGUUGGUAAGGUAACGGCUUACCAAGGCAGCGAUAGGUAGGGGUCCUGAGAGGGAGAUCCCCACACUGGUACUGAGACACGGACCAGACUCCUACGGGAGGCAGCAGUGAGGAAUAUUGGACAAUGGGCGAGAGCCUGAUCCAGCCAUGCCGCGUGCAGGAAGACUGCCCUAUGGGUUGUAAACUGCUUUUACAGAGGAAGAACCACCCUCACGUGUGGGGGUUUGACGGUACUCUGCGAAUAAGGAUCGGCUAACUCCGUG